UGCAAAAUUUUCUUAUUUUCAAAGCAGCUAAAUUCAAGUGCUCAUAGACAUUGAGCUGCAAAAUUUUCUUAUUUUAAAGGCAGUUACGUGCAACAUAGACGUUGAGCUGCAAAAGUUUCUUAUCAUCUACAUCCGAUUUCACCUGGAUAGAUGCACGCUUGAUAAAGCUAGUUGGUCUAGCGAAAUAUUGCGUUUAUUUUCA
rnacentral:lncRNA from 1 species